UCUGGUUGAUCCUGCCAGUAGUCAUAUGCUUGUCUUAAAGACUAAGCCAUGCAUGUCUAAGUAUAAGUUAUAUACAGCGAAACUGCGAAUGGCUCAUUAAAACAGUUAUAGUUUAUUCGAUUAUUUUCUUCUACAUGGAUAACCGUAGUAAUUCUAGAGCUAAUACAUGCUGUCAAACCUGACUUUUCGGAAGGGUUGUAUUUAUUAGAUAUUAAACUAACCCUGGCAACAGGAUAGUGAUGAUUCAUAAUAACUGAGCGGAUCGCGGCCUCGCCGCGACGAAUCGUUCAAGUUUCUGCCCUAUCAGCUUUCGAUGGUAGUGUAUUGGACUACCAUGGCGAUCACGGGUAACGGGGAAUUAGGGUUCGAUUCCGGAGAGGGAGCCUGAGAAAUGGCUACCACAUCUAAGGAAGGCAGCAGGCGCGUAAAUUACCCAAUCCUAAUUCAGGGAGGUAGUGACAAGAAAUAACAACUCGGACCUCUUGUAGGUUACGAGAUUGCAAUGAGAACAAUUUAAACCACUUAUCGAGUAACAAUUGGAGGGCAAGUCUGGUGCCAGCAGCCGCGGUAAUUCCAGCUCCAAUAGCGUAUAUUAAAGUUGUUGCAGUUAAAAAGCUCGUAGUUGAAUUUCUGGCUGGUGCUGUGUUGGCUCUCUGAGUCGAUUCAGUGCUUAGUCAUCCGUAUGGGAAGCUAGCUCGAUCUUCACUGGUCGGCUAGUGGAUCAUACACUUUACUUUGAAAAAAUUAGAGUGUUUCAGGCAGGCAAUUGCUUGGAUACUGCAGCAUGGAAUAAUGGAAUAGGACUUUGACCUAUUUAUUGGUUUCUCGAGGUCGAAGUAAUGAUUAAUAGGGACAGUUGGGGGCAUUCGUAUUUAAUUGUCAGAGGUGAAAUUCUUGGAUUUAUUAAAGACGAACUUAUGCGAAAGCAUUUGCCAAGGAUGUUUUCAUUAAUCAAGAACGAAAGUUAGGGGAUCAAAGACGAUCAGAUACCGUCCUAGUCUUAACCAUAAACUAUACCGACUAGGGAUUGGUGAGGUUUUCUAAGCCUCAUCAGCACCUUAUGAGAAAUCAAAGUCUUUGGGUUCUGGGGGGAGUAUGGUCGCAAGGCUGAAACUUAAAGGAAUUGACGGAAG
rnacentral:rRNA from 1 species